GCUUACAAGUGAGGAUUCGUACUGGGUUUUAAGAUGUCUAACACAAAAUAUAAGUGUUUACUAGAAACAUAGCUUUAUAGGGUUGUGCAAUUGGUCAAUUCGGUUUUAAAUCGAACUGCAACAGAAUUGUAGAUCCAACAGAUUCACAUGUGAUCUUUGUUUUAGUUGCCCAUAAUUAUAAUAUAAGGAAAAAAAUGGUUUUUUUGAAUUAUAUUUUGCAAUAAUUAGGAAGAGAAAAUUAAUACAAUUAGUCUAAAUAUUGGAAAUUAACAUAAUUAGAAAAAGAAAAUAAACCAAUUAACAUAAAUAUUGGAAAUUAACAUAAUUAGAAAAAGAAAAUAAACCAAUUAACAUAAGUAUAGGAAAUUAACAUAAUUGAAAGAAGGAAA
rnacentral:misc_RNA from 1 species